GUUUGUAUUUGUACAGUCAUGCUUCUAUAAAUUUUAUAGUUGUAUUUUCUCUAUAAAUUUGCUUCGGUAGUUCUGUAGCUUCCAGAAUAGUUCAGAUGUUAAGUGGUUUUACUGUUAGGCUUGUAUGCACCUGCAACUUUUUUUUUAUCUGUAAUUUUGGAACGUUAGUUCUGUAAAAAUUUAGUUCAGUUUCUGGAAACAAGAUUAAAUACGUGUUUAGCAAUUUAUAGCUUACUUUUUCUCUAUCUAAUUUAUACGUGUUUUGCAUAUAUAUACUGUUACGUUGUUAUAGAUUACUUUUUUCUAUCUAAUUUAUAGCUUUUUGUAUAUAUCAAUGUUGUGAAGGGUUGAUACUCCAUUUUUAAUGAUGCUCUGUUCGCUGCAUGUGCUAAAGUUUGGUUGUGAAAAAUAAUAUAUCCAGGCAACGAGACAUACUGACUUAAAACUCUAUAAAUGUUAGAUAUCUAGGAAUGUGUCAUGUUCUGUUCUUUAUAUACUAGAUAUAAAUAUCCAUCCCAAUUUUUCUGUUUAGAUGACAGUCGAGGCACUUUUUUCACUCUGUUCUAAAAUGUAUGCCCAAGUUAAUUUGUUCUAAGUUGAUGUCGAGCUAGCUAAUCGGUAUUACAAUCCCUAUUUUAAAUGUAGCCUUUUAUAGACAAUUAAAUAUAUUUGCUUAGUGGAUUUUCAUAAGUAAUUCACAUGCUAUAACUUGGAUGACAGAACUUAGCCAUUCACUAUGCAUGUUAACUAUGAUGGUACUUUGGGAAAAUGGCACACAUUUAGACUGACUUUACAUGUAAUUGGUGUUAGAAAAGUACUGCCUCCGUCUGGAAAUACUUGUCAGAAAAAUGGAUGUAUCUAAAACUAAAAUACGUCUAGAUACAUCCAUUUUUCCGACAAGUAUUUCCGGAUGGAGGGAGUAUUUUGUAAGAAGAUAAGAUCAAUAUGCUCAACAUGCUCUGAAUUCUAACGUGUGGUCGUACUUUGAUAUUCCAAAAACAAGAUCAUACCAUUUUGUAGCUUUGCCGCCCUCCCCCCUUCUGAAAUUUCUUUGAAGCUCCACCACUGCUUGUCACCACAGGUUACACUCUUGAGUGUUGUUCUGGUUUUGAAAAUUUGAGAACCUAGAGAGGCUAGACUUUGUGCAAUGUAUCUGCUAAUUUGUUCUCUGGGAAGUUUCAUAAUUCUAUUGAACCAUGCAAGCUAUGAACUAUAUACAUUAUCUGAGACAAUCUUUAGAUGAAGAGAAUAACCAAAAUAUUGGGUAUACCAUCACCAAGUAAGAGGAGAAGAUAGACCAGCAUUGAUUGUUACUAGUCAAUGUACAGAGCUAUAUAGCGAUAUACUUCUUCUGGUUGAUGCUUAUUAAAAUUUACUUGUUUUACACUCAUCUCCCCCAACUAACUUUCAGUGACCAGGUGCCAGUGAUCCAUGGCGGCAACGACAUUGUGAAUGAUUUGGAAAAAUGUAGUAGCAUGGUCGACAAAGAUCACAAACAGAUCUUGGCUUCAAAGUUACAUUCAAAUAUGUCACUUCCGCUGCUGCCUAUUAUUAAUCGUCUUGUUUGUGAUAGCAAGUGGCUUGCCUACAAACAGGACUUUGAGCAUGUCAUUGAUUUGGAAAUAUUGAAGGCUCCACCUAUCCCCAUGGGAAUGGCAUGAAGAGCGUUAUCCCCCAUGUCCUGGAGAGAAUUAUCCUUUCGCUGCUAGAUUCUUUACUCCUUUCAUGUAUCUCAGGAUAUAGCAAACAAAGUUAUAGGAAAGACAAGAGGGGAGCUAAAGAUUUUCAAACUGGAGGAUGUUCUCCAAUGAUAUGUAGAAGGAAGGCUUUGAUGUCAAGUACUAGAACGACACAAGGAUCUUGGUGGAACGCUGUGAGGAUGUGUAUGUAGUUGCCCACUACAAGGAGCCAAGGCAGAUGAUGUGCCUCUUAAGAUAAAUUCUAGAAAAUAAAGCGAGGAAUUUUUGCUAUUAGGCAAUGAACCAUAAUAUUUCCUCUACUUAAUUAGUUCCAUUAGUUUUAUAGGAAACAUGGAUGGUCAUUAGUCCAUAACAGAUGAUGUAUUUAUAUGUGAA